ensembl:miRNA
UGAGGCAGGAGAAUCGCUUGAACCCAGGAGGUGGAGGUUGCAGUGAGCCGAGAUCGCACCACUGCACUCCAGCCUGGGUGACAGCAAGACUCCUUCUCAAUAAAAAAGAAAA